rnacentral:rRNA from 1 species
ACGGGAGGCAGCAGUGUGGAAUAUUGGUCAAUGGGCGGAAGCCUGAACCAGCCAAGUCGCGUGAAGGAUGAAGGUAUUAUGUAUUGUAAACUUCUUUAGACGCAGAGAAAUAAGGGGCUCGAGAGCCCUGAUGCUAGUAUGCGUAGAAUAAGGAUCGGCUAACUCCGUGCCAGCAGCCGCGGUAAUACGGAGGAUCCGAGCGUUAUCCGGAUUUAUUGGGUUUAAAGGGUGCGCAGGCGGCCCUGUAAGUCAGCGGUUAAAUCGUGAGGCUCAACCUCAUCUCGCCGUUGAUACUGCAGGGCUUGAUUGCGGUCGAGGUUGGCGGAAUUCGUCGUGUAGCGGUGAAAUGCAUAGAUAUGACGAAGAACACCGAUUGCGUAGGCAGCUGACCAGACCGUAAAUGACGCUCAUGCACGAAAGUGCGGGGAUCGAACAGGAUUAGAUACCCUGGUA